rnacentral:rRNA from 1 species
UACGUAGGGUGCAAGCGUUGUCCGGAAUUAUUGGGCGUAAAGAGCUCGUAGGCGGUUUGUCGCGUCUGCUGUGAAAACUGGAGGCUCAACCUCCAGCCUGCAGUGGGUACGGGCAGACUAGAGUGCGGUAGGGGAGAUUGGAAUUCCUGGUGUAGCGGUGGAAUGCGCAGAUAUCAGGAGGAACACCGAUGGCGAAGGCAGAUCUCUGGGCCGUAACUGACGCUGAGGAGCGAAAAGCGUGGGGAGCGAACAGG